AGCAGCCGCGGUAAUUCCAGCUCCAAUAGCGUAUAUUAAAGUUGUUGCAGUUAAAAAGCUCGUAGUUGAAUUUCGGGGUUAGUAGGUUGGUCAUGCCUCUGGUAUGUACUGGUCUCACUGAUUCCUCCUUCCUGAUGAGCCGUAAUGCCAUUAAUUUGGUGUUGCGAGGAAUUUGGACUGUUACUUUGAAAAAUUAGAGUGUUUAAAGCAAGCUAACGCUUGAAUACGUUAGCAUGGAAUAAUGAAAUAGGACGUUCGAUCCUAUUUUGUUGGUUUCUAGGAUUGACGUAAUGAUUAAUAGGGAUAGUUGGGGGCAUUAGUAUUCAAUUGUCAGAGGUGAAAUUCUUGGAUUUAUUGAAGACUUAACUACUGCGAAAGCAUUUGCCAAGGAUGUUUUCAUUAAUCAAGAACGAAAGUUAGGGGAUCGAAGACGAUCAGAUACCGUCGUAGUCUUAACCAUAAACUAUGCCGACUAGGGAUCGGGAUGAUGUUAAUUUUAAUGUACUCAUUCGGCGCCUUA
rnacentral:misc_RNA from 1 species